AAGCAAACUUUCCGCGGAAGCCCGAUGAUCAUUUGUGGUUCAUUCAAACGCGCCAUUCUUUCCUUUGAGGGCUUAUUCAUGGCUGAUUAGUUCGGUUUAUUGAAGAAAUGGCAGAAAUGGAGGCAAAAGGGGAGGAACAAGAUCGGCCAUGGCAAUCAUACAACACAGUCUACACCAAUGCAAAAGCUGGGAUGGAUGGAGUUGAUAAGGAGAGAGUGCAAAAGAUAGUCUAUGAGAUGAGCAAAGGAUCAAAAUAUUUUGAAAAUGAGAAAAGAAAGGAGGCUUCUAUUCAGCAAAGAGUGGAUAGUAUGCGUUCUCAUUGUGAAAAUCUGACAAAGGAUGAACUGUCACAUUUUGAAAAGAUUGCUGACAAAAGAGUUUUGGAGUUGGAAGCUACUCGUAACCUAUCAAGGAUUUGGAUGCAUGUUGAUAUGGAUGCUUUCUAUGCAGCCGUUGAGAUGCUAGAAAAUCCCUCCUUAAGGGGGAAGCCAUUGGCAGUUGGUAGUAUGUCUAUGAUCUGCACGGCUAAUUAUGAGGCUCGGAGAUUUGGGGUUCGAGCUGCAAUGCCUGGUUUUAUUGCUCGGAAAUUGUGCCCAGAGUUGUCUUUUGUUCCUCCCGAUUUCAAGAAGUAUCAAUUUUAUAGCGACUUAGCAAGAAAAGUUUUCCAGAGAUAUGAUCCUCAUUUCAUUGCAACUAGUUUGGAUGAAGCAUACCUUGAUGUCACCGUGAUUUGUAAAGAACAGGGCAUGGAUGGCAGAGAAGUUGCUGAGGAGCUUUGUGAUGGGGUUUACAAGGAGACAGGUCUCACAUGCAGUGCUGGGGUGGCACCAAAUCGCUUGCUUGCAAAGGUGUGCUCAGAUAUCAAUAAACCUAAUGGACAGUUUGUUCUUCAAAAUGAUCGGAUGGCUGUCAUGACAUUUAUAUCAUCUCUUCCAAUACGCAAGAUUGGUGGUAUUGGGAAGGUGACUGAACAAAUUCUGAAGAAUGUUCUUGGAAUCACUACUUGUGAGGAGUUGCAGCAAAAGCGUGGCUAUAUUUAUGCGCUGUUUCCUCAAUGUUCUGCAGAUUUUUUCCUCUCUGUGGGGCUGGGUUUAGGAAAAACAGGAACCCCUCAGUAUGUGCCCCGGAAGAGUAUGAGCAGUGAACGGACAUUUUCAGCUACUAGCGAUGAGACACUGCUUUUCCAUAAAUUGGAAGAUAUUGCGGAAACAUUAUCAAAUGACAUGAAGAAGGAUGACCUUUAUGGGCGGACAUUGACCCUCAAAAUAAAGACUUCAACCUUUGAGGUUCGAACUAGAGCAGUUUCUUUGCAGCGGUAUGUUAAUUCAAAGGAAGACAUCUUAUGUCAUGCUUCCAAGUUGUUGAAGGCAGAGCUUCCUGGUUCCCUGAGGUUAAUUGGCCUGCGUAUGUCCCAGUUCAAUGAUGAUAGAAUUGGACGUGGUGUACCUAUCCAAAGAACUCUCGAAGAAAUAUUCAAUUCAGUAGAUUCUUCUUCUUCAAUGACUCUGGGUUCGAAUAGGGAAAAUAUCAAUGCAGUGAUUGGUUGCCAUGAGCUCAAUGCUAAUGUUCUUAAUGAUAGUUUUGUAGAUGACCAUGGAAGCUGCCUCUCAAAUGCAACUCUUCAUAGUGAACCAGGGAACAUUCGCAGUUCUGGAGACCUGCCUGAUUUCAAUCACCUACACGAGUUGGAACAUUAUGGAGAUGGCUUGCUGGACAACUUCAAAAUAGAGAGAAACGAGAGUUCUUCGGACCAGCACUUGGAAUCCACCAAUCAAUCAGAAUCAAAUAGCAUGACCAGCCUUUUCAUUGAGGAGCCUUUUUGCUGGAUUGAUGAUUAUAGAUGUUCAUUGUGUGGUGUUGAAUUGCCCCCUGAUUUCCUUGAGGAGAGGCAAGAACACUCCGAUUACCAUCUAGCCGCAAUGAUCCAAAGGGAGGAAUCUGGACACUUUCCAGAGAAAACCAUUCAAAAGAAGAGGCUCAUGUAUCAGCCACGUGGAGUGAGAGAAAGUAUGCGGAAGAAGUCAAAGCAUUGUAAGGGAGAUGGAAGGUAUCUUCCUAUUGAUGUAUUCUUCACCAGAGGCAAACAAUCAUUAUCAUCAUCAUCCGAGCCUCAUCACACCUAUUUGGGGUCGGCUAAGUAAAUUUUGUUCGGCCUUCAAGCUUCAUGAAAAAAUGUGGCAAAGUUUUACGUAGGCUUCCCUAUCUAUCACAACCCUCUUUUACUAGAGGGAUUAAGACCUCAGAAGCGUGACUUUUAGGCUGUAGAGAUGUUUCUGGCAAGACACUGUUGAAAGCCCUCGUGGCUACAAAAGAAACACCAUUUUUUCCCCCUAUCCUUGACAAAGUGGAUUAUCUUCACGGGUAUGACAGUUUAAGACUACAUUUUUUCAAGAUUGCUCAUGAAGUUAUCUAACGAUAUUUGUUGGAUAAGACUGCGAAGAAGCCCAAACCAGGUCUAAGCUUUUGCUAAACUCAUGCCAUAAGACAUUCAUUGCCUUCUUUGGCGACUAAAUGCAUCCAGAUGGUGCACUUGGUUCAAGCGAUGGUGCACUUGGUUCAAGAUUGUUCAUAAGGUACCUAAAGAUAUUUGUUGGAUAUGACUACCAAGAAGUCCAAACUGAGCCUAAGCUUUUGCGAAACUCAUAGCAGAAGACAUUCAUUGCUUUCUUUGGUGAAUUAAUGCAUCCAAAUAGUGCACUUGGUUCUUGUAGCAUGUUUCAAUGGCCCUUUUGAUUCUUUGGUGACUUAAUGCAUCCAAAUAGAGCACUUGGUUCUUGCAGCAUGUUUCGAUCACGAUUUCUGUUGCAGAGAAUUGUGAUAUCCUAGUUCCUAGCUACUAGUUAAAGAACAUAGGCAUGUUAUAACAUGUCUACAUUUUAGAUAUGGGUCAUACAAAUGUUGUGUUGCACCUGGCACAUUUAUUGCUUACUAUGGUGAUUGUACUUUCUUGAUGAUA